rnacentral:sRNA from 1 species
ACGAGACGGCCGGAUGCGCCCGGCGACUCGGAGGAUAAACUAACCGCGGAGGCCGGGCGCAGCCCCGCGCCCUCCACCACACAUGUGAGCCAGCAGCCGCUGCAACCCCAGGGAG